rnacentral:rRNA from 1 species
UACGAAGGGGGCGAGCGUUGUUCGGAAUCACUGGGCGUAAAGAGCGUGUAGGCGGUCCGGUAAGUCCGCUGUGAAAGUCGGGGGCUCAACCCUCGAAUGCCGGUGGAUACUGUCGGGCUAGAGUGCGGAAGAGGCGAGUGGAAUUCCUGGUGUAGCGGUGAAAUGCGCAGAUAUCAGGAGGAACACCCGUGGCGAAGGCGGCUCUCUGGGACGGUACUGACGCUGAGACGCGAAAGCGUGGGGAGCGAACAGG